GAGAGAGAGAGAGAGAGAGAGAGAGAGAGAGAGAGAGAGAGAGAGAGAGAGAGAGAGAGAGAGAGAGAGAGAGAGAGAGAGAGAGAGUUAACUAAAUGGGACCAAAUAAAGAAAAUAGAUUUAUGUAGAUAAGAUACAAGAGACAUGAUAAAGAUAGUAGAUAGGAAGAAAA